rnacentral:tRNA from 2 species
UGGGAUAUCGCCAAGCGGUAAGGCAGCGGCUUUUGAUGCCGCCAUUCCCUGGUUCGAAUCCAGGUAUCCCAG